UGUACCAUUAUAGCCCUGGUAGAAGUAUUAUCAUCAGAUGCAUUAGAACCAGCUUUAUUUCAUCUUUGGUCUUCAUACCAUCAUUCAGACUCUCAGCUGUACCAUUAUAGCCCUGGUAGAAGUAUUAUCAUCAGAUGCAUUAGAACCAGCUUUAUUUCAUCUUUGGUCUUCAUACCAUCAUACAGACUCUCAGCUGUACCAUUAUAGGUGGAUUGAAAGAUCAAUAUUCAUGCAGUUAAAAUGAUGCUGUAAGUAGAAAUGGAAGGUGUCCAUCCCUCUGAACUGCCUUAUACCUGCCUGCACCCAGUCAUCUUGGCGUCUACAUGCUCAAAUAUUUUUAAUAAGAAAU
rnacentral:lncRNA from 1 species